AUUGAACGCUGGCGGCAGGCCUAACACAUGCAAGUCGAACGAGUGGCGGACGGGUGAGUAAUGUCUGGGAAACUGCCCGAUGGAGGGGGAUAACUACUGGAAACGGUAGCUAAUACCGCAUACCAUCGGAUGUGCCCAGAUGUGAUUAGGUAGUAGGUGGGGUAACGGAUCACCUAGGCGACGAUCCCUAGCUGGUCUGAGAGGAUGACCAGCAACUAGGGAACUGAGAUGCGGUCCAGACUCCGACGUGAGGCAGCAGUGGGGAAUAUUUCACAAUGGGCGCAAGCCUGAUGCAGCCAUGCCGCGUGUAUGAAGAAGGCCGUCGGGUUGUAAAGUAUUUUCAGCGAGGAGGCGUUACUCGCAGAAGAAGCACCGGCUAACUCCGUGCCAGCAGCCGCGGUAAUUC
rnacentral:rRNA from 1 species